rnacentral:lncRNA from 1 species
UUUAGACUUUUCAUAAACAAAAUCGUAAUAUGCACAAAUUUUGGAAAUGUUCAGAUACCAUUAGGGAGACCAAAGAGUAACAUAGAAUUACCAAACAGUUUUCAAAUGCAAUGCAGUUCGCAGUGUAUGAAAUUUAAUCCAUCAAUAAUUGUUUUUGAAGAAUACACAAUUAAGUGAUCAAACUUGCUCAUCAAACCUCUUUACAUCCACCUGAAUCUUAACAUAAUUGCAGGAACACAAAAUCAUCACUAGUUUUUAAAACAAAUAUAUGAUAUUGAUAAAAUUAUAAUCCACGAAUAUUGUUGGGUUUAAGAAAACACAAAAUAAUUCCACUUCUAUUAAUCCAUAAUAAAGUAAAACAAAACUAUAGUAUCGCCAAACAGUGGAAAUUGCACUGAAUAUCACUAAAGAAUCAUUGCUAGUCCACAUACAGAAUAAAAAUGAGAGAGCACAACCAAAUACAGUACAUAUGUACAUUGAACUCCUGUAGUUUUCAAAACUGAACAGGUGGAUAAUAUUACAAC